AAGCAAUGCCCUCAUUUAAGGGCUGGCAGUGGAAGUGGGGGCAUCUUAGUGGAGAUCCCUGCAUACCUGAGUCAUUCUAAAGGACUGAUCUCCCUUGGAUCACUUCAUGUUUAUCAGAGCCAGCAGCUGGGGUGAUAAUGUAGGAUCAAGUGGAGUGAGCACCCACACCCCAAUUCCUGCAGUACCGUGGAGCCAGCCCUGAGCCACAGCUCUUUUCUGCAUUCCUUACUUCUUCCAGCCUUGGUUAAAUCCUCUCCAAGCCAUGGUUAUCUCUGGGCUUAACUGGAAGUUGCAGAAUAAGGAAGCACACAUAACAAAGCUGUGCGCAGGGGGCUUUGGUUGGCCUGGCACAAAGAGCACACAUCCAGCCCCUGGAGAGUUCAGGGCUGAGGUGCUGGAGAAGGGAUGGCAUGUGGAUGGAGACAGGUGGUAGCAGGAAGCACUGAUCGGUAACCUUGGCUGAUCACCAAAUGUGGGCACAAGCUGUAAAUUUACUUUCCCUCCUGGGCUACAAGUGCCCAGAAGAGGAUAACAGCUGGAAGGGGACCACAGCACAGCCAUGCAAGGGAACCAACAAAACAAGAGAGGCACUGAUGCCUCAUGUGCAGCAAUGUAAAUAUAACCCACAGCCAGAACAGCUUGAGUCCAUGCUGGACUUCCCACAAGGAGAGCAGAUCUGGAAGCAUGAAGGCGGCAGAGGGAAAGCAGGACUGGAACGUCAUUCUCUUGCAUAUUUGAAAUGUUAUUUACUAUCUAGUAAACCCAUUUUAUAGCAAACCUGUAAUUUAUUUUCAAACUUCUAUUGACGCCCACUGUGUAUCAGUCAUUUUCUGAUUAUAGAAGCUUUCACAGUGACUUCCAGGCAGUUCUAAGAAGCUGCCAAAGAGCUCAGUCUGGCAAAGGUUUGAGCUUUAUUGCUGCUUUUCACAGAAAGGCUGAAAAACAAAUAAUAGAGAAGAAAAAAUAUGGGCUUCAAAGACCUAUGCUCGUGCAUUAGGGCCCAGAUCAUAAAAAAAAAAAACACCCAACUUUGUGGCAUUAUAUAGUUCAGGUAACCUGCUCACAACCUUCUGCCAGUGGAUCAUAAGACUCCAUUGCCUCUCUGGGUUUUUUAUUACUUCAUGAAGAAGAGCAAUAAAUAAAUCUCAUGUCAUUACUGGAAAGGCAUCCACAGGAUAUAGAACAAAUAUUAAUUGUGUUCAAAGCAAUCUGGUCAGGUAGUAUGUGAGCAUCCUAGAGAGAUGAUGGACAGGUAGCAAAAGAAAGCUCUCAAUUUAAAGGAGAUAACUGUCUCAACACACUUGUUUUUGCUGGCUCCACGUGAAUAGAAUUGUGCCUGCACAGAUUACUUUUACAUUCUCUUCUCCUCCAUGGGGAGAAUACCUUGUCUUUUAAGGCCAUCCAGUUGUGUUGAUAAUUUUUAUUCUUUACACUAGGCUGUUAGCCAAGGCAAAUGUUUGUGUUGUUUUAAAAACUUGAAGUGUAUCACUGUGGGAAAUUUAAAAUAUACAGAUAACUUCAGAAAGCAUUUCUGAAAAAAGAACUGUGAUAAUAUCCCAUGCUAUUUCACUUUUCUUCUAUUAGUUUUACAUGGAGCAGUGCUCAGUGCCGUCACAGACUGUUUUCCUGUCCUCCUCCCUUCUCAUUCCAAAUACAUGAAAAUACUGAUAUGACACUAAUUGGACUGAACCAUCAGCAUUUCUGUAGUGACAAAAGUUAGAGAGCAAGAAGCUAAAAAAACCCAUUAUAUUUAUCUUUGAAAGAAUGUUUAAAAUAUGUAGCUGAAAUAAGAAAAGCACUUUUGAUGUGCGUGUGUAUUAAAUAUUAGCACUAAACAGGACUCAAAGCGGUAACAGAACUACAUGCAAAGUUUAAUUGAAAAUGACAAAAUCAAAUAAGACACAGCCCCUGCGUUCACAUGGAGAACAUUUGUCUCAGCCAAAUGCUACCAGCACUGCAUACCAGCUCUGCGCUGUGGAGCACGGAGGGAUUCAAAUCAAAGAGAUUAGAAGUUUGGCUGGGGAAGCCUGCCUCAGACUCUAAGUAAAACAAAGUCAGAGAGCUGCAAAUAUUUGAGGGCUGCAAGGCACU
ensembl:lncRNA